UACAGAGGUCCCAAGCGUUGUUCGGAUUCAUUGGGCGUAAAGAGCGUGUAGGCGGCCCGGUAAGUCCGCUGUGAAAGUCCAGGGCUCAACCCUGGGAUGCCGGUGGAUACUGUCGGGCUCGAGUCCGGAAGAGGAGUGUGGAAUUCCUGGUGUAGCGGUGAAAUGCGCAGAUAUCGGGAGGAACACCAGUGGCGAAGGCGACUACCUGGCCUGUUCUUGACGCUGAGGCGCGAAAGCUAGGGGAGCAAACGGG
rnacentral:rRNA from 1 species